CAGCAGCCGCGGGAAUACGAGGGGUGCAAGCGUUAUUCGGAUUGAUUGGGUGUAAAGGGUGUGCAGACGGCUUAUUAAGUCACUUGUUAAAUUCCUCGGCCUAACUGAAGGUCUGCAAGUGAUACUGAUGAGCUAGAGGGUGGAAGAGAGAAGUGGAAUUCUCGGAGUAGCGGUAAAAUGCGUAGAUCUCGAGAGGAACACCAAUGGCGAAGGCAGCUGCCUGGCCUAAUACUGACGCUGAGGUGCGAAAGCGUGGGGAGCGAACGGGAUUAGAUACCCGCGUAGUCCCUGUCUCUUAUAC
rnacentral:rRNA from 1 species